UAUAAAAUUCAUAUAUAGUAAUAAACGUAACCAGGAAAAUGUUACUAAAACUAAUAAAUCUUGAUCUUUCUUCAUCUUCGUUCUCAUGUUUCAAAUAUUUAUUAUAUGUUUCACCUUACAUUAGUUUUGUGGUCUUCUUUGGUCAAUGAACCUUCACAUUUCCUUAAAGAAAACUUUUCUUUAACAAUUAUAUUUUGUUAACUUUUUUACAAUGCCACGUGACAUUGUUUUAUUGGUUGGUUUUAAAAGAUUUUUUUAAAAAGGUGGAAUUUGUUUAGAAGGGAAAUUUUGGAAAGAAUUUGGAUAGAAACUUCUUUUGGCGGUUUCUUUUUCUUUUCAGAUUCAUUCUUUUGCGUAACUUGGUUUUCUCAACUCUCUCUCCACCAUUGAAGCUUCUAUCUCUCUCCACCAUUGAAGCAUUUAUCUCUCUCCAUCGUUUUGAUCUUCUUCGGUCCUUGCUUUUCUUCACUCUCUGUCCACCAUUGAAAUGUUGUUUCUCUCUCCCCUUUGAGUUUGAGUUCGACUCUUCUUACUUCGUUUUUUGGGUCAUUUGGUCACUGUCGAGGAUUUCGUCUCUCUCUUUACCCAUUUCCCCUUUUUUGAUGGUGUGACCGUGGGCUCGUUGGCGGUAUAUAUCCCCCGUUCUAGAAUUAUGUUGAUUUUGGCAUGCAUUGUUGUUGCCGACAUUUCCGUGGUUGUGUAAGUCUUUGGCUUUUGUCUCCCAUUGUGGUUGAUGGUAUUUCUCCCAAGAUUUGGGCUUUUUCACACACACCAUUGAUUCAUUACCAAACUUCACACUACAAGUUGUGGAAACCAUCAACCAUGACCAACAAGGGUCCUUCAUUCAUAAAAUCUUAAAAACACACUAAUAACAAACAAAAAAAUAAUCAUGGGGAGCGUAGUUGCCAUACCUGGGUAGCACAGAUCAACUUUUAUAGUAAAAAAAUGCAAAUUUAACCUAGUAAUCGAUUACAACCUUUUUGUAAGUGAUUACAAGUGCAUGUCUCCAGUAUGUAUGGUGCAGGACCUGACCUACGUUGCUAAGACAACCUAGGAUGGGUGUUGACUCACUGGCAAGUGUACCAGAUCGUGCAAGUAAUAUAAUCGGUAAUACCCGAUAUCGUUCUUCCCAAGAGACUCGAAAGGCCUUAUCGUUCGUGUGAAUUGAAAUCGUAAGACUUGUAGAAAAAGAUUAAUUGUUGUGAAUGCAAAGACAGAAAAUAAACAUGCAAUGUACUUGAUUCAAUUGACGAAAAAGACUAUGGAUGAAUGGAGUUGUUGGGGGUUUACAAUUUCAUCUUAUCCGCUCCCUCUUAUCUACUCCUCUUGUUUAAUGUGCUUGAUAAUCUAAUUGUUAUGCAAACUUUCUUGGCCUACCCUUAACCCAAUCCCUCGGCGAAAAUAGCCUAUUACUAAUUAUCGGCUUGUUAUCCCUAGCCUCCCCUAGUAAUUAAUAAUGCAUUAAGAACAGAAGCAAAAACAAUUGAUCGUCCGACCCCCU
rnacentral:lncRNA from 1 species